AGACCAUGAUGUGGUCAGGGAACUGAGGAACUGCUGCCACGUGUUCCACAAAGAGUGCAUUGAUAGAUGGCUAGAUCAUGAUCAUGAUAAUCACAAAACUUGUCCGUUAUGUAGGGCGCCUCUUUUGACCACUUCACAGUGCUCGGCUUGGGUCAAGUCUGAGCCCAGUUGGGCUGUUGAGAGAAUUCUGUACCUAUUUGGAGAUGAUUUGUUUGUU
rnacentral:misc_RNA from 1 species